GAUGAACGCUGGCGGCGUGCCUAAUACAUGCAAGUCGAGCGAACGGACGAGAAGCUUGCUUCUCUGAUGUUAGCGGCGGACGGGUGAGUAACACGUGGAUAACCUACCUAUAAGACUGGGAUAACUUCGGGAAACCGUAGCUAAUACCGGAUAAUAUUUUGAACCACAUGGUUCAAAAGUGAAAGACGGUCUUGCUGUCACUUAUAGAUGGAUCCGCGCUGCAUUAGCUAGUUGGUAAGGUAACGGCUUACCAAGGCAACGAUGCAUAGCCGACCUGAGAGGGUGAUCGGCCACACUGGAACUGAGACACGGUCCAGACUCCUACGGGAGGCAACAGUAGGGAAUCUUCCGCAAUGGGCGAAAGCCUGACGGAGCAACGCCGCGUGAGUGAUGAAGGUCUUCGGAUCGUAAAACUCUGUUAUUAGGGAAGAACAUAUGUGUAAGUAACUGUGCACAUCUUGACGGUACCUAAUCAGAAAGCCACGGCUAACUACGUG
rnacentral:rRNA from 1 species